CACUGAUUUUUUGUUUUUUUUUUCACCUGCAGAUUGAUGCAGAAAAGCCUGUAGAAGAGGUUUUUGAAGCCGUGAAAUCAGUUUUCACCCCAUUGCAUGAGAAGGUUGCCUAGGUGUUGCUACCCUACCUGAGAUAUCAAACCAGAUCUAAAUUGAGGUAAAAAAUGAUCAAUAGGUUUGUGAAAUCUGUUUAAUUUUUUCAUUACAACAUUGUUUGUCUUGUUAAUAUUUGAAAAUUUUGAAUGUUUGGAAGUAUUUUCUCUUGCACUUGUAAGGAUUACUGUUGUUGAAACUUUGAACAUGAACACUAGCUUUUCUCGAGUUCUUUCAAAAUAUUAUCAUUCUAGCUAUUAUUUUAUGGUAGACAAUUUUAAAUGUUUGAACUGUUAUUGGCAGCCCUUAUUUUAACUUAUUAUGUGCUAGUCCUAGUAGACACAUUUGAAAUGCAGUGGUAGAUAUAUUUUGUUAUUUAACCACCCUUCCUGGGCCAAAAUUGCAUAAAAAAUUAUUUUAGUAAAACCUAUAAAACAUUCCUUUUUUUUUUUUUUGUGAAAGGGGGUGGUGAUAACACAUUCCUUAUGCUAGGAGCAUUACUGUUUUGCUAAACUACUUUUCUGCAUGGUGAAGUAUUAAAGACUCACUUGAAUUAUUCAGAAAUCAUAAUGCAAGGUUUCAUCAUCUUAAAAUUUAGGGUUAUUUACACGAAGACCCCCUAAACUAUUGAGAAGUAUUAUUUUGACCCCCUAAACUAUAAAAGUAUACAAAUGUACCCCCGAAACUAUUGACGUGUUUCACUUUGACACCAUCCGUUACUGCAUUGACAUUUUUUAGACGAAACUUCUCAAUUUUUCUCAUUUUUCUGUUUUGUUAUUGUUUUUUUUAAAUAUUCUUUUUUCAAAAAUAUAUUUACAAAGAAUAUUUAAAAAAA